UACGAAGGGGCUAGCGUUGUUCGGAAUUACUGGGCGUAAAGCGCACGUAGGCGGCUUUGUAAGUUAGAGGUGAAAGCCCGGGGCUCAACUCCGGAAUUGCCUUUAAGACUGCAUCGCUAGAAUUGUGGAGAGGUAAGUGGAAUUCCGAGUGUAGAGGUGAAAUUCGUAGAUAUUCGGAAGAACACCAGUGGCGAAGGCGACUUACUGGACACAUAUUGACGCUGAGGUGCGAAAGCGUGGGGAGCAAACAGGG
rnacentral:rRNA from 1 species